rnacentral:rRNA from 1 species
GAUGAACGCUGGCGGCGUGCUUAACACAUGCAAGUCGAACGGAAAGGCCCAAGCUUGCUUGGGUACUCGAGUGGCGAACGGGUGAGUAACACGUGGGUGAUCUGCCCCGCACUUCGGGAUAAGCCUGGGAAACUGGGUCUAAUACCGGAUAGGACAGUGGUUUGGAUGCCAUUGUGGAAAGUUUUUUCUGUGUGGGAUGAGCUCGCGGCCUAUCAGCUUGUUGGUGGGGUAAUGGCCUACCAAGGCGUCGACGGGUAGCCGGCCUGAGAGGGUGUACGGCCACAUUGGGACUGAGAUACGGCCCAGACUCCUACGGGAGGCAGCAGUGGGGAAUAUUGCACAAUGGGCGCAAGCCUGAUGCAGCGACGCCGCGUGGGGGAUGACGGCCUUCGGGUUGUAAACUCCUUUCGCUAGGGACGAAGCGUUAUGUGACGGUACCUAGAGAAGAAGCACCGGCUAACUACGUG